GGAGGCGUGGCCGAGCGGCUUAAGGCAACGGUUUGCUAAACCGUCGGGAUCUAAAAGUCCCACACAGGUUCGAAUCCUGUCGCCUCCG
rnacentral:tRNA from 4 species